rnacentral:rRNA from 1 species
GAUGAACGCUGGCGGCGUGCCUAAUACAUGCAAGUCGAGCGAAUGGAUUAAGAGCUUGCUCUUAUGAAGUUAGCGGCGGACGGGUGAGUAACACGUGGGUAACCUGCCCAUAAGACUGGGAUAACUCCGGGAAACCGGGGCUAAUACCGGGUAACAUUUUGAACCGCAUGUUCGAAAUUGAAAGGCGGCUUCGGCUGUCACUUAUGGAUGGACCCGCGUCGCAUUAGCUAGUUGGUGAGGUAACGGCUCACCAAGGCAACGAUGCGUAGCCGACCUGGGAGGGUGAUCGGCCACACUGGGACUGGAACACGGCCCAGACUCCUACGGGAGGCAGCAGUAGGGAAUCUUCCGCAAUGGACGAAAGUCUGACGGAGCAACGCCGCGUGAGUGAUGAAGGCUUUCGGGUCGUAAAACUCUGUUGUUAGGGAAGAACAAGUGCUAGUUGAAUAAGCUGGCACCUUGACGGUACCUAACCAGAAAGCCACGGCUAACUACGUGCCAGCCGCCGCGGUAA